CCAGGCAUCCCAGGGUCCCCGGGAGACACGCGCCCUAGCACGGCCGAGGGAAGCCAGGCCGUGGGUCAGGCGCGACUGCCGAGUUCACAUCCUGGUCCACCCAGGCAGAAGGGACGUCCGGUCUGUGAUGGAGCCUCUGCCAAGCCCCACCCUCUCGAGUGACCCCCAGCUCGGAGUUCAGGCCCAGGGGUCACGGGACGGCUCUGGGCCCUCCUGGGCCUGUGACUUCCGACCACUGAGGCAGCCCCUCUGAGACCAGUUCGGAUGUCCGGACGCUGCUAAGACAAAGUGUUCAAGAGGGUCCCACGAUGCAAAGGACCAAAGCAGGGUCCCCCUUCUUGGCCUCCAAGCACUCCCGGGGGCCCCGCCCCGCCCGUGUGCCGGGACAGCGGCAGCUGUGUUGCAGGCGAACGCGGAGUCAGGAACCCCGGGAGUCCGGGCAGCACAUAACCCAGCCGGGCGACAACACACAGAUCCCACCCACCUUCCUCUAAAAAUAAACCUGUGGAGGAGAAGCAGCACUCGCCCC
rnacentral:antisense_RNA from 1 species